rnacentral:rRNA from 1 species
UACGUAGGGUGCGAGCGUUAAUCGGAAUUACUGGGCGUAAAGCGUGCGCAGGCGGUUUUGCAAGCCGGAUGUGAAAUCCCCGGGCUUAACCUGGGAAUGGCAUUCGGGACUGCAAGGCUGGAGUGCGGGAGAGGAGACUGGAAUUCCUGGUGUAGCAGUGAAAUGCGUAGAUAUCAGGAGGAAUACCGAUGGCGAAGGCAGGUCUCUGGGCUGACACUGACGCUCAUGCACGAAAGCAUGGGGAGCGAACAGG